AGGGCAAAAUGGCCGUGCUGGUGGUGGCCGUGAGCGUAGGAGAUAGAAAAGUUGUGAUCAAGGAGGUCUUUUUGGUUGGCUUUUUUUCUUCCCUCUUCUUCUUUUAAAUCAUUACGACUGGAGAAAGCAAGAGGUCAGAGAUUUGAGGAUAUGUAAUCUCAUCGAUAUGGCAAGGAAUGUAACAUAGAUACAAAGUCUUUGUGGGGCUGUAUAGAGCCGCCGGAAACGUAGAAAAUGAGAAAAAUCAUAUAUGAUCUCGAAAGCCCCCCAAACGUACCACCAAGCGAUUCCCUUUUUGCUACAGGAUAUCUAGCUAUGUGAGCCGGCAGUUUGACUUGGUCUGAACGAUGCAUAUGUUUUGCCUUUACC
rnacentral:sRNA from 1 species